CGAAAACGAAUUCUCUCUUGAGUGGAUCCUGAGUACGACGGAGCACGUGAAAUUCCGUCGGAAUCUGGGAGGACCAUCUCCUAAGGCUAAAUACUCUCUAGUGACCGAUAGUGAACCAGUACCGUGAGGGAAAGGUGAAAAGUACCCCGGAAGGGGAGUGAAAGAGAACUUGAAACCGUGUGCUUACAAGUAGUCAGAGCCCGUUAAUGGGUGAUGGCGUGCCUUUUGUAGAAUGAACCGGCGAGUUACGAUCUGAUGCAAGGUUAAGCAGAAAAUGUGGAGCCGUAGCGAAAGCGAGUCUGAAUAGGGCGAAUGAGUAUUUGGUCGUAGACCCGAAACCAGGUGAUCUACCCUUGGUCAGGUUGAAGUUCAGGUAACACUGAAUGGAGGACCGAACCGACUUACGUUGAAAAGUGAGCGGAUGAACUGAGGGUAGCGGAGAAAUUCCAAUCGAACUUGGAGAUAGCUGGUUCUCUCCGAAAUAGCUUUAGGGCUAGCCUCAAGUGAUGAUUAUUGGAGGUAGAGCACUGUUUGGACGAGGGGCCCCUCUCGGGUUACCGAAUUCAGACAAACUCCGAAUGCCAAAUAAUUUAACUUGGGAGUCAGAAUGUGGGUGAUAAGGUCCAUAUUCGAAAGGGAAACAGCCCAGACCACCAGCUAAGGUCCCAAAAUAUAUGUUAAGUGGAAAAGGAUGUGGCGUUGCCCAGACAACUAGGAUGUUGGCUUAGAAGCAGCCAUCAUUUAAAGAGUGCGUAAUAGCUCACUAGUCGAGUGACACUGCGCCGAAAAUGUACCGGGGCUAAACAUAUUACCGAAGCUGUGGAUUGUCCUUUGGACAAUGGUAGGAGAGCGUUCUAAGGGCGUUGAAGCAUGAUCGCAAGGACAUGUGGAGCGCUUAGAAGUGAGAAUGCCGGUGUGAGUAGCGAAAGACGGGUGAGAAUCCCGUCCACCGAUUGACUAAGGUUUCCAGAGGAAGGCUCGUCCGCUCUGGGUUAGUCGGGUCCUAAGCUGAGGCCGACAGGCGUAGGCGAUGGAUAACAGGUUGAUAUUCCUGUACCACCAUUAUUCGUUUUAAGCGAUGGGGGGACGCAGUAGGAUAGGCGAAGCGUGCUGUUGGAGUGCACGUCCAAGCAGUGAGAUUGAGUGUUAGGCAAAUCCGGCACUCUUAAGAUUGAGCUGUGAUGGGGAGAGGAACUUGUUCCUCGAGUCGUUGAUUUCACACUGCCGAGAAAAGCCUCUAGCUAGAAUAACGGUGCCCGUACCGCAAACCGACACAGGUAGUCAAGAUGAGAAUUCUAAGGUGAGCGAGCGAACUCUCGUUAAGGAACUC
rnacentral:rRNA from 1 species